UAUCAGGAAACGACUGCUAAGACUGGAUAGGAGACAAGAAGGCAUCUUCUUGUUUUUAAAAGACCUAGCAAUAGGUAUGCUUAGGGAGGAGCUUGCGUCACAUUAGUUAGUUGGUGGGGUAAAGGCCUACCAAGACUAUGAUGUGUAGCCGGGCUGAGAGGUUGAACGGCCACAUUGGGACUGAGACACGGCCCAAACUCCUACGGGAGGCAGCAGUAGGGAAUUUUCGGCAAUGGAGGAAACUCUGACCGAGCAACGCCGCGUGAACGAUGAAGUAUUUCGGUACGUAAAGUUCUUUUAUUAGGGAAGAAUAAAUGAUGGAAAAAUCAUUCUGACGGUACCUAAUGAAUAAGCCCCGGCUAACUAUGUGCCAGCAGCCGCGGUAAUACAUAGGGGGCAAGCGUUAUCCGGAAUUAUUGGGCGUAAAGGGUGCGUAGGCGGUUAAAUAAGUUUAUGGUCUAAGUGCAAUGCUCAACAUUGUGAUGCUAUAAAAACUGUUUAGCUAGAGUAAGAUAGAGGCAAGUGGAAUUCCAUGUGUAGUGGUAAAAUGCGUAAAUAUAUGGAGGAACACCAGUAGCGAAGGCGGCUUGCUGGGUCUUUACUGACGCUGAGGCACGAAAGCGUGGGGAGCAAACAGGAUUAGAUGCCCUGGUGGUCCACGCCGUAAACGAUGAGUACUAAACGUUGGGUAAAACCAGUGUUGAAGUUAACGCAUUAAGUACUCCGCCUGAGUAGUACGUACGCAAGUAUGAAGCUUAAAGGAAUUGACGGGACUCCGCACAGGCGGUGGAUCAUGUUGUUUAAUUCGAAGGUACCCGAAAAACCUUACCGGGUCUUGACAUGCUUCUGCAAAGCUGUAGAAACACAGUGGAGGUUAUCAGUUGCACAGGUGGUGCAUGGUUGUCGUCAGCUCGUGUCGUGAGAUGUUGGGUUAAGUCCCGCAACGAGCGCAACCCUUAUUGUUAGUUACCAGCACGUAAUGGUGGGGACUUUAGCAAGACUGCCAGUGAUAAAUUGGAGGAAGGUGGGGACGACGUCAAAUCAUCAUGCCCCUUAUGACCUGGGCUACAAACGUGAUACAAUGGCUGUUACAAAGGGUAGCUGAAGCGCAAGUUUUUGGCGAAUCUCAAAAAAACAGUCUCAGUUCGGAUUGAAGUCUGCAACUCGACUUCAUGAAGUUGGAAUCGCUAGUAAUCGCGAAUCAGCAUGUCGCGGUGAAUACGUUCUCGGGGUUUGUACACACCGCCCGUCAAUCA
rnacentral:rRNA from 1 species